AUCGCGUCCUCCUCCGUGAGGCCGCUCCGCCCCACCAGCGCCUGGGCUCCGUCAAGGGCGUCUACUUCGGAGUGCUCGUCCGCCGGUAACAAGGCCGCCCCCGCUGGGUCCGAACAUGUUUUGGGGGGCGUCGUGCAAAAGGUCCGGCCCACUGCGGCUGCCGCUGUUCAGGAACUCGUCGACAUUGGCAUCUAAAGGAAGGGCUUCUGUGGCUGCUCAUACCACCUCUCCCCUGAGUUCUGCAGCGAUGUCGUGACAAUGCUGUUCUGAUGCUAAUCCUUGGAUGACCAUGACUUCCUCGAGCAGGAUCGGCAUCACCAUCAAGUGCGGCGGGGUCGACGUAAUCUCCACCGCUGAUGUGCUUUGGACAUGUUGUAUUGCAAGAGCUUGGUCGAAGAAACCUACUGUUUCCUGGCACUAUCACAAAGUUCAGUUUCUGAGGCUUUCAGUGUUGUAUCGUUUUAGGUCGUCUUGUACGCUACUGACUUGGCCAGUGGUGGAUUGGAUAUCCCAACUCUUGAUCAUGCUAUCAACUAUGGCAUUCCAAAGUAUCUUUAUAUGUAACAUCUUCCGCUGGGACUUCUCAGGAAAUAUGAAUGCAUUUAUGUGGCUGCCGUUGGCUUCCCCAACCAACUCCUCAAGCUGUUGCUGCAGGCAACCACUUGGGCAUGUUGCUGCCGACGAACUCCCCAACCUCGUGCUGCCGGCACUGAAUAUGUUUUGAGAGAAGAAAGUCAGGGGAGGACAAUUGUAGUUUGCUUGCCAUCCGAACCUCCUAUUUUCCAAAACAGGAGUCUUGCUUACGCUGAGUGAGCAUGAUGCUCUGGAUAGCAAGUCCCCGAGUAUGCCCAUGAUGGCCAGGUAGUACAACAUGGCAUCCUCAUCGGACUGUGUUGCCAACGGGGCUGCCCAUACUUUGAAUUUAAAGGACUUCACUCCAAGAGCAUAAUCUGUCACGAGCAGCACGAACUCAGAGAGCUCCAAGGAGAUGAAGGUGUGCUCCAUCUGUCACAAACUCGGAGCAUAAUCCUAAGCCGCCGGCGUUGCCGUGGCUGGAUGUCGUAGUGCGGUGGGCCAGUUGCACCAUUGGAUGGCUUCAGUUCAAAAUCUACAGAUUCAGAAGACUAGAUGCAUAGGACACAGUUAUCUCCAUUGAGAGCUCCCAUGCUCAUGUACUUGCAUUUUGACUGCUUCCUCCUUCACCUCUGCCCUUUGGCGGUGAGUUCACCGUGCCACAACUGUGGCAGCGGUGGCCUUCUUCUACGCCUCCAAGG